GCCGGUGUGGCGGAAUGGUAGACGCAGGGGAUUCAAAAUCCCCCGCCCGCAAGGGCUUGUCGGUUCGAGUCCGACCACCGGUACCA
rnacentral:tRNA from 3 species